rnacentral:rRNA from 1 species
UUCAGACAGUGUAAGUGUUAUUGAGCUUCACUGGGUGUAUAGGGUAAGUAGGUGGUUUUUCAAGGCAGGUGGCGAAAGUCUGGAAGAAAAUAAAUUUAGGAAAGCGUCCUGUACUCUGUUUAACUUGGGAUAACUGUGGCACGGUAGUGGAAUAGACGAGUUAAUAACACUGAAAUGUUCAUCUUGCAGAGAACUACAAAGGCGAAGGCGUCUACUGGUUUUUAUCAGACGCUGAGGUACGAGGGGAUGGGGAGCGAGUCGG